GUACUCGAUUUGCACAGCGCCGGCAUAUAAUCAUCAAGUUUGAUGAAAUGUCCUAAUAUGUAGAUGUAGAUGCUAAGUCAUUCAGUCACCUAGCUUGUGAGAAUGGAAUGCUCACAAAAAGGACAAGAGCGAGAGAGCUGUAUGGAAAUUUACACAAAGGGUCAGUUAACGGAGUAAGCUGAUAUGGAGGAUAAUAUAUCAAAGGCAGCAUAGGCGUCCAAACUCCUGUUCAAGGUGCUUUUAAUCAGAAGCUUAAGAGACAAAAGACGAGCCAUUGACAAGGCAAAACUGAAUGUUUUAUAUGAAAUUGAGCAAGAAAAGUUUGAAGUGUCUUUGGGAAUGAUCAACAUCAAACUUGCUGAGCUUUUGAAGCCGUCGUACCAAAAGUGAAUCCAUUCGUGACACCAAUUAUCUGACCACCCUCUAACAGAACCAGUGAGGAAGUGAUUCUAGCCAAUACUUCAGAAGUU